UGGGAGGCCAUAAACGCAUUCAUUUUUCCCUCACUAAGGCCAGAUUAGGCUACCAAAGAUAUCUUCAAAUGAAACGAACAGUAUGUUUUCUUUGUUGGAGAAGUUGUACCAGAAGACAUGAAGUUGGAAGGUGAGAAGGUUCGGUCUUCUCUGUCUUCUCUGCAGAUGGUAGGCCAUGAACGCAUUCAUUUUUCCCUCACCAAGGCCAGAUUAGGUUACAAAAGAUAUCUUCAAAUAUUCUUACAACAACAGAAUCAAGGUGGAAGCCAUGCAGAAAGCCUGAAACGAACAGUAGGUUUUCUUGGUUUGAUGAAGUUGGAAGGAGAGAAGGUUCAGUCAUUCAACUUGCAAACUGCCACAAAUUUCUGUACUGCAUUGUGAUACUGGGUUCCCUGUAAAGUGGAGACAACACUGUAAAAUAAUCUGGGAUAAGACGUAUAAUUUGAAACAAUUUGGUUUCUAUGAACUGAAUAUUUGGUAGGGUACCAAGCUGAAUCAAAUUAUUAUCACAAUUUGUAACAAUAUGGGCUAAAUUAUUGAGGGUUUGAAGAGGAUAAUUUAUCCAAAACUAAUCGGUCUUUCAGAAUAUUGAAGUACACAGCUG
rnacentral:lncRNA from 1 species